GCCAGGCGCUGUGGUGGGUGCCUGUAGUCCCAGCUACUCGGGAGGCUGAGGCAGGAGAAUCGCUUGAACCCAGGAGGCGGAGGUUGCAGUGAGCCGAGAUUGCGCCACUGCACUCCAGCCUGGGCAAUAGAGCAAGACCCUGCCUCAA
rnacentral:SRP_RNA from 1 species